rnacentral:rRNA from 1 species
UACGUAGGGGGCGAGCGUUGUCCGGAUUUAUUGGGCGUAAAGAGCGUGUAGGCGGUUUGGUAAGUCUGGCGUGAAAUCCUGAGGCUCAACCUCGGACGUGCGAUGGAUACUGCCGGGCUAGAGGAUGGUAGAGGCGAGUGGAAUUCCGGGUGUAGCGGUGAAAUGCGCAGAUAUCGGGAGGAACACCAGUAGCGAAGGCGGCUCGCUGGGCCAUUCCUGACGCUGAGACGCGAAAGCGUGGGGAGCGAACAGG